rnacentral:rRNA from 1 species
UACGUAGGGUGCGAGCGUUGUCCGGAAUUAUUGGGCGUAAAGAGCUUGUAGGCGGUUUGUCGCGUCUGCUGUGAAAAUCCGGGGCUCAACCCCGGACUUGCAGUGGGUACGGGCAGACUGGAGUGUGGUAGGGGAGAUUGGAAUUCCUGGUGUAGCGGUGGAAUGCGCAGAUAUCAGGAGGAACACCGAUGGCGAAGGCAGGUCUCUGGGCCACUACUGACGCUGAGAAGCGAAAGCAUGGGGAGCGAACAGG